UGGGCUCCACCCCUGGAGUUUCUGAUUCUGUGAAGGUGGGGUGGGUCUGGGACUUUGCAUUCCCAGGUGAUGCUGAUAUUGCUAACCCUGAGAUCUUAUUGGGAGAGCCUGAGAGAGAGUGGUUAAGAACCUGGACUUCACAACUGAACAACCCUGAGUUUCAGCUCCUGUUUCACCACCUUGGGCAAGUGACUCAACCUCAGCUAGUGGCUUAAGAGGAAAUAGAAAGUGAGGCUCAGUUUAAUUUGGUAUGGGACUCUGCAAAAACCAUUUUACAUAUUAGCCAAUUCUGUAAAAUGGACCAAAUGGCUCUUCUCCACUUCCCCCGAUGUCCCCCGGACCUGUUGGUCAGGCUGCUUGUCCUCUGGGAUGAAGAAAAGGCUUUAAACCUGUAAACUGUAUACAUUUUCUCCAAAAUCAACUUGAAACUCAGUCUGAAUUGGAUGGAGAGGAUUCGCUUAUGGAAGGAGCAGCUGUGUACCCACACACUGAUAGAGACAUCCCUGCUCUCGGAGGUGUUAUGAUUAUGCGGGCUAAAAAGCUCAGAUGUCUGAAGACUGGAGUUUCUUGUGUAUAUUUAUAUGAAGACUGUUCCCCUCCAGGACCAUGAGGAUGUGGAAUGAGGCUGUUUUUCAUUCCCCACCCAGUGGCUAAUGCAGCUCAGAGACUGUAUUUGGGAGUUGAGCCUACAUGUAGUGAAUCAUCAGGAGCCCUGUGGAAAUGAGCAAAGCAGGUGCAGUUUAAAGACCACAUUCUCAGAGGUGCAAGAAGCUGAGCUUUCCCUUUCUCUAAGCUCAGUUUUGGUUUCAAGACUGAUCCCCACUGAUGAGGCAGAAACCUAAUCUCUGUCAAAAUGAGUUGUUUUUCCAAUUCCUUUUCCCCAAGGGUGAGCUUUAAUUCCAGCAAUCCACAUGGUUCCCAGACCUUUGGAAGAUCAGCUCUCUGAUCCUCCAGACAACCUUUCCUGAGCCGGAUGUGGCCUGGCGAUCCUUAGUUGGAAUCCACGCUGGCUACUGCUGAGAGAUUUCUGAUUCCAUCUUAUCCCUCCAGCACUGGCAAUUGACUUGUCUGCUUCUGUACCACCUGAGGGCAGGAGUGCUAUUCUGUGACCAGGUUUCUCCCUUGGAUAUGGAUCUCCUGGUUGUCUGUAUGCGUGAUCUUCCCUCAUUCCCUGCUGGCGUUGGGGUACUCCGAGGCUCUGCCCCAGGAAGCAGAGAACAGAGCCCGUCUCUGGGACCCUUGGUGUUCCUGCCUCACCACCUCUUCUCCACUCUCUCCUCCUCGAGUCCAGAAGAUCUGACUUCAAUAGGAAGCCUAACUCUUCCUAAGCCUCCUUGUUCUCAUCCUGAUUCCUUUCCCAAACAUUUUGUUAUUGCCCACAAUCCUCUUCGUUCCCCUAAGGACACACAAGCCUGAAAGGAACUCCUUUUUUCUCAACUUUGCAUCCUCUUGCAGCCAUUUUAAAAAUAUGCGACAUGGACCACCGUAGGAAAUGUUUUGCAGAAGAGAAAAUCUGGAAGAAAAAGCAUGUACAGAUACCAUUGAACCAACUAUCCAUGCUUUUUUGGAUUAGUUGCAAAAUCCCAGUUUACUUAACUUUUCUUUUGCCUAGAGACUGUUUAAAUAACUUUUCUAAAACAGCCAAUGAGAACAAUGUACAUAGUUAAUGCUGGCAAUUAGUAUUUUUUUACUAAGCAAUUCCUUUUAACAGUCUUUUAGAUCAUGUACACGGGCAGUUAUAGUCUUUGAAUUAGCACUGUGAUUAAAAACACGAGCUUUGGAAUCAGACCCAGUUCUGCUCUCACCUAACAGCUCAGUGGCCUUAGACAAAUUAAAGAACUUUUCUAAGCUUCCGGGCCCUCAUGUGUGAACGGCUUUAGUGUUGUUAGAAAGUGUAGAUGAACUAAUGUGUGCAAAACACCUAGCACCU
rnacentral:lncRNA from 1 species